AGGGCUGCACCCAUGGCAUAUGGAUGUUUCCAGGCUAGGGGUCGAAUCAGAGCGACAGCUACGGGCCUACACCACAGCCACAGCAAUUUGGUAUCAAGCCAUGUCUGUGACCUACACCACAGCUUACCUCGACGCCAGAACCUUAACCCAAUGAGCGAGGCCAGGGAUCGAACCUGCAACCUCAUGGAUACUAGUCGGAUUCAUUUCCGCUGUGCCACAACGGAAACUCCUGGCUGGGAAUUCUGACAUACCAAAAGAAAAAAAGUACCUAGAAACAGUACACUGUAGUUGUAUCUUUGCUAUAGUUUAGUGGGGUCAGUAGAUUGGAAUUUCAACCCCAGGGAAACUGUGGCAUUACUAGGAAGAUCAUUUCUCUCUGAAAGCUAAGUUUCCAGCUCCAAAGUUACAUGACUAGUAAAUAGCUCUGUGACUUGAAAGUUAAUUCACUUCUGUUCCAGCCACCUUCAUCCCUUCAGAGGCAUCUCACUGUGAGAGACAGAGACAGGAGAGUCUGCGGUUUGCUUAAAAACAAAAACAACAGUAACAAAAACAGUUCUUAUAGUGGUGGUGCUGCUGCCUGAAGGCAAUAAUCAAAUCUGGAUGAAAUCCCACAGUCAUCUCUGGCUUGGUCUGUUUGUAUGGUUGUCUUUGGGCAUCUGAGACCCCUUAUUACAGCAAAGGAGCCGGACAUGAAUCAAAACCACUUAGAUGCACCAGGACACAGGUUCGCACACAUGAAAAACCAGGUCGGAAGCCCUUGGCAUGGGGAGACACGCGAUAUAUCUGAUGAGACGUGUCCUUGCCUUUCAAAGUUAGUGUCCAGUGUCUACAUGAAGAUGUUAACAAGGACCAGUCCUGCAUCUCCUUAGUUGCUACUGUUUCUAGCCUAAACCAAAAGUUACUCCUUAACUUCAAACACCAUUCAAACACAGUAAAUCAUUCUGUGAUUUUGCAUGAACCUUCUCUCCCUUUGGACUAUCUGCUGGUUGAAAAGUAAACUACAGCAGUGCCAGGGGGUGGAGGUAAAGAGAAGUACCUGGCUUUGUUUCAAGGCCAGCCAUUGUUCUGUCCGGAUCAAAGUCAGGGAGUUCCCGUCCUGGCUCAGUGGAAAUGAAUCUGACUAGUAUCCACGAGGUUGCAGGUUCCAUCCCUGGCAAGUGGGUUAAGGAUCCAGCGUUGCUGUGAACUCUGGUGUAGGUCGCAGAUGUGGCUCGGAUCUGGCGUUGUUGUGACUGUGGUGUAGGCUACAGCUCUGAUUCGACUCCAGGCCUGGGAGUCUCCAUAUGCUGCGGGUGUGGCCCUAAAAAGGAAAAAAAAAUAAAAAAGGGUCUGUUUCCUCUCUUGCCGUGACUGUCUGCCCAUAACAUCCACCAGAGCUCCCUCGAAAGAAGAGGAGCUCAUUAAAUACCUGAUGAAGACCGAAAUGAGAGGACAGAGCCAUGCAUCCCUGAGAGACAGGAGAGGGACAGAGUGCCAUUUUAACGAGGUUAAAACCUGACACAGAAUGAUUUAGCAACAUGUAAGAGCCAGGGAAGCCAUGCUUCUGCUACCCCUGGCACGACUGAGCCCCUUUAAAGAUAAUUAUAUAUGUUUCUGGAAGGUGAGAGAUAUUUGAGAGGUGCGAUAAGAGCAAGAAAUAUGAUUAAGAGGACAAAAAUCGGUUCUGUGAGAGAAAUAAAAUCCCAGCGGCAAGGGUUACACUGGACCAGAGGCAGACCUUCAGGCUGUCUUCAGGUACUGAUGCGACUACAGUUGUCAGCUCAGCCUAAGUACGAACAAUAAAACAUCCCCAGUGAAGGGAGCUUGAGGCUAGACAACCUGCAGAAAUGGCACAUUCUUUAAACUCUUGGCAAGACACAGUUGUCAUUUUUGCCAAUGUGGCUUAAUUAACAACAUUUCUGCUCCCACCCCCAGCACACGUAUGUUAAAAGCCCCAAUCCUUCUCGUUGCCAGAAAGGAUAGCCACUGUGAUCCGUUUCACGUCUGCACUCUGCUCAUGAAUAAAUAUCAAAUUUGUGACCUUUAUCAUCCCCUCUAGGCAAGGAUUAUUAUAAUGACACCACUGAUGUCUCCAAUGGCACAGCAGGAAAACCCGGAUGUGAGGAAGGCCAUUCUGAAGGGAAAGGUGAUUAAACAUGAAAUGGUCCUCCAAGAAGCCCCCUUCUCCGUGAUCCUUAAAAACACCAUCUGUCUCAGAGGACUCAGGAGCAGUGGCUACCCAGGGAUGGGACUGCAGCAAAUGAAAGUGAGAGCGACGUACAGGCUCUGUAAGUGUAAGAUGCUUUCGAGGCUACAGAGGAGCCACCUCAAAACUUCCUUGAGAGCAGCAGAGAUAUAGAUGCCAAUAAAACCAAAACUGACCCUGGCCCCCCAUUAUAACUCUUUGGAACAUCACCGGAAUCUACACAGGUGAGGUGGGCAGGGCCUAGAAGACCAGCUGAAAUGGUGGAUAACCCUACAUACUUCGUAAGUGGCUCCUUAUCAUUUUAGAUUCAAGUCUUGAACUCUUUACGUUAAAUUAUUUUCACAGUUUUUUGUACACAGCAUCCAAUUUUUUGUGAUGAGCUGGGGGUAUAAAAAAAAAAAUCACAUGAACUUUUUUUUUUUUUUUUUUUUAGGGUCCCAGUCUAGGAGUCCAAUUGGAGCUGUAGCUGCCAGCCUACACCACAGCCACAGCAAUGCAGGAUCCGAGCCACAUCUUCGACCUACACCAGAGCUCAUGGCAAUGCCGGAUCCUUAACCCACUGAGUGAGGCCAGGGAUCAAGCCUGCGUCAUCCUCAUGGAUGCUAGUCACGUUCGCUAACAACUGAACCACAACAGGAAUGCCACACGAACAUUUGUGAGUACUCCAUUUUACAAAAUAUCUGUACAUAAAUUGACCAUAUUUUUUCUUUUUUAUGGCCGCACCUGCAGCAUAUGGAAGUUCCCAGGCCUGGGAUCAAAUUCAAGCCUCAGCUCUGACCUGCACCACAGCCUAUAGCAGAUCCUUAACCCAUUAUGCUGGGCUGAGGAUCAAACCCCAGCUGCUACAGAGACAACGCCAGAUUCUUAAACCACUGUGCCACAGCAGGAACUCCCUAACUGGAUUUUUGCUUGUUUUUCUUUUUACGACGCACAGGAUAUGGAAGUUCCCCAGCUUGGGGGUGAGCCCCAUCUGUGACCUACACCACAGCUUGUGGCAAUGCCAGAUCCUUAAAUGACUGAGUGAGGCCAGGGAUCGAACCUGCAUCCUCACGGACACUGUGUUGGGUUCUUAACUCGCUGAACCACAAUGGGAACUCCUCCCUAAACAGUUUUUAAAAAGUCUUGGGAGUUCCCAUUGUGGCUUGCCAGGUGAAGACUCCUCCUAGUAUCCAUGAGGGUUCUGGUUUGAUCCCUGGCCUCGCUCGAUGGGUUAAGGAUCAGGCAUUGCUGUGGGCGUUGCUGUGAGCUUCGGCGUAGGUCACAGACUCAGCUCAGAUUUGGCAUUGCUGUGGUUAUUUCGUAGGCUGGCAGCUGUAGCUUCAAUUCAACCCCUAGCCUGGGUUCCAUGUGCCACAAGUGUGGCCAUAAAAAGCAAAAAAAAAAAAAAAAAAAAAANUAGAGAUAAUGCCAUGAAUACUCAUCUAUCCAUCAGGCAAAUCUUGACACUUUGGUACAUUCCUUCAGAGUUUUGAAUAAAGAAUUACUCCAUUCCACUUAGGGUGCUGAUUCCUACCCUGAAAUGUGACGGUGUCAUUCUCAAGCCUGUGUUCAUAUUUUCAUAAGCAAUGCAUUGUUUUUGUUUAAGGUUAACUAAAUGGUGUUAUGCUGGACCACCGUUCUGCAACUUUCUUUUCUAAACUCCAUGUUUUUGAGAAUGACCCUUGUUGAAUUAUGACUCUAGUUCAUUCAUUCUAAAUGCUAUAUGGCACUUGAAUUUAAUUCAAUUUUUCAGAGUAAUCUUGUGCCUGAAAUGAUGAGAGGGUAAAUAUUUCGCCCAACUCUCUGAAGCAAUGAUUAGACUCAGACUCAAUUCUUCUUAUUCAAAGGUCCCAUGCUCUUGCUACUGCAAAAUUCUUGAUAUUGCAAAGAGAAUAAGAUUGGAAACUACAAAGUCUUCAUGCAAAAUCCUCCCCAGCUGCAGGUGGGGAAAGGAGGAAAACCUCCACUUUCACCACUGUCCUUAGAUUCUUCACUGAACAAACAAUGCCAUCAACUUUACGUAGAGACAAUGAAAAACUGAAUGCCUUUGAUUUCUUGACACUACAGUCUGGGAAAUUUGAUGCUGGGGUGUUUGAUGUGAUUAAAGAAUUAAUGUUCACAGUUUUUGAGAUAUGAUGGUACCGUAGUUAUGUUAAAAAGGAAAAACUUGUUGUUUAAUGUUUACAAAGUUUGAGUUUUGCAAGAUGGACAGAGUUCUUGAGACUGGCUGCACAGAAGUACGAAUGUAGUACUUAACACCAUUGAACUGUGAAUGGUUAAGUUGGUAAUUUUUAUUUUCUGCAUAUUUUGCCACCAAUUUUGAAAAAGGAAAAAGAAAUAUUUCACUGAAAAUUACAUGUCUGGGACUUGUUUUAAAAUAAUCCAGGAUGGGGUGGGGGUUAUUGAUGAAACAAAAUUGGUUGCCUUGAAACUACUGAAACUCGGUGACAGGUAAAUGGGGAUUCAUUUUACUUGUCUCCCUACUUUCAUAUAUUUGAAGUUCUCAAAAAUAAAAUGUUUUAAAUAAGGGUUCAGCCUACCUAUCCCAUCCCCAAGCUUUAUUUCUUAACCAGUUGUUUUGCUUUUAAAUAGAAAUAAAAAGCAACAUUAUUUUUUAAAUGCUACCAGUUCUGAGACCCACAUCACUUGAAGUUCUAGAAUGGACAGGGCUGCUCAACGCUGAAUGCAUGUGCAUAUGAUUCACCUUUGAGAUCUUGUGAAAAUGCAGUUUGUUCAGCAAGACUAGGGUAGGGCCUGAAAUUCUGCAUUCCUAUCAAGCUCCCAGGUGAUGCUCCUGGUCCAAGAGUCGCAGAUUGAGUAGCAAAGCUUACACACAGCAAGAAAGUGCUGGCAAGGGGAGAAGCCAGCAAAGUUUUCAGAUUGCUUCUCAGAGUUCCCAUUGUAGUACAGUGGAAAGGAAUUCGGCUAGUAUCCACGAGGAUGCCAGUUCGAUCCCUGGCCUCACUCAGCAGGUUAAGGAUCUGGUAUUGCCAUGAGCUGUGGUGUAGGUCACAGAUGUGGCUCAGAUCCUACGUUGCUGUGGCUGUGGUGUAGGCCGGCAGCUAUACUCUGAUUUGACCCCUAGCCUGGAAACCUCCAUAUACCAUGGGUGCAGCUCUAAAAAGCAAAACAAAACAAAACAAAACA
ensembl:lncRNA